UGUCAUCUCACUGGGGGCCAACGGGUGUAAAAAUCCGUUUGGUCGCCUUUGGGAUUUAUAUCUACUCAGAACUUUAGUGAUUUUGUCUGAAAACAUAUUAUGAAUACUUAAUUCAAAAUACAACUUUCAACAACGGAUCUCUUGGCUCUCGCAUCGAUGAAGAACGCAGCGAAAUGCGAUACGUAAUGUGAAUUGCAGAAUUCAGUGAAUCAUCGAAUCUUUGAACGCAUAUUGCGCUCUCUGGUAUUCCGGAGAGCAUGCUUGUUUGAGUAUCAGUAAACACCUCAACUCCUCUCUUCUCUUUUGAAAAUGGGAGUUGGACUUGAGUAAUCCCAACGCUUUUCUCACCGAACAGUGGCGGGUUACUUGAAAUGCAGGUGCAGCUGGACUAUUUCUCUGAGCUAAAAGCAUAUCUAUUUAGUCUGCCUAAAAAACAGAUUA
rnacentral:rRNA from 1 species